rnacentral:ncRNA from 2 species
GAUUUAUAAAGAAGUGGCGAGAGACAGGCUCUUUGACCCACUGGCAACCCUCCCAAGAUGGAGAAGGUGCCAAUUCCUGACCAAAAGACAUGGUGUCGUUUGGAAAGAUAAAUU